rnacentral:misc_RNA from 1 species
AACAAGGCGUACCUGCGGACCUGCGGAGGGAUCAUUACAAGUGACCCCGGUCUAACCACCGGGAUGUUCAUAACCCUUUGUUGUCCGACUCCGUUGCCUCCGGGGCGACCCUGCCUUCGGGCGGGGGCUCCGGGUGGACACUUCAAACUCUUGCGUAACUUUGCAGUCUGAGUAAACUUAAUUAAUAAAUUAAAACUUUCAACAAUGGAUCU